CGGGAGGACGCUCACCACUUUGUGGUUCAUGACUGGGGUGAAGUCGUAACAAGGUAGCGCUAGGGGAACCUGGCGCUGGAUCACCUCCUUAUACGAUGAU
rnacentral:rRNA from 1 species